AUUGAACGCUGGCGGCAUGCUUUACACAUGCAAGUCGAACGGAAGCGCGGGCUUCGGCCUGGCGGCGAGUGGCGAACGGGUGAGUAAUGCAUCGGAACGUGCCCAGUAGUGGGGGAUAGCCUGGCGAAAGCCGGAUUAAUACCGCAUACGACCUGAGGGUGAAAGCGGGGGACCGAAAGGCCUCGCGCUAUUGGAGCGGCCUAUGUCGGAUUAGCUAGUUGGUGGGGUAAAGGCUUACCAAGGCGACGAUCCGUAGCUGGUCUGAGAGGACGACCAGCCACACUGGAACUGAGACACGGCCCAGACUCCUACGGGAGGCAGCAGUGGGGAAUUUUGGACAAUGGGCGCAACCCUGAUCCAGCCAUGCCGCGUGCGUGAAGAAGGCCUUCGGAUUGUAAACCGCUUUUAUUCGGGAAGAAAUCCUGUGGGCUAAUACCUCGGGGGGAUGACGGUACCGGAAGAAUAAGCACCGGCUAACUACGUG
rnacentral:rRNA from 1 species